rnacentral:rRNA from 1 species
UGCCCACUGAUAUUUAUAUUAAAGGGCUGCAGUAAUUUGACUGUACAAAGGUAGCAUAAUCAUUAGUCAUUUAAUUGAUGACUUGUAUGAAGGAUUGGAUGAAAUAUAAACUGUCUUUAUAAUAAUAUUUAGAAUUUAAUUUUUUAAUUAAAAAGUUAAAAUAAGUAAAAAAGACGAGAAGACCCUAUAGAGUUUAAUUAUUUAAUUAAUAAAUUAUUAUUUAUAAAUUAAUAAUAGAGUUAAAUUAAUUAAAUAAUUUUGUUGGGGUGAUAGAAAAAUUUAAUUAACUUUUUUUUUUUAUUACAUAAAUAAGUGAAUAUAUGAUCCAAUAUUAUUGAUUAUAAGAUUAAAUUACCUUAGGGAUAACAGCGUAAUUUUUUUUUUUAGUUCGUAUAAAAAAAAAAGUUUGCGACCUCGAUGUUGGAUUAAGAUAAAAUUUAAAUGUAGAAGUUUAAAGUUUUGA